UAAGCCAUGCAAGUCGAACGAGUUUAGGCUCGUGGCGUACGGCUCAGUAACACGUGGAUAACCUACCCUUAGGACCGGGAUAACCCUGGGAAACUGGGGAUAAUACUGGAUAGGCAAUUUUUCCUGUAAUGGUUUUUUGUUUAAAUGUUUUUUCGCCUAAGGAUGGGUCUGCGGCCGAUUAGGUAGUUGGUUAGGUAAUGGCUUACCAAGCCGUUGAUCGGUACGGGUUGUGAGAGCAAGAGCCCGGAGAUGGAACCUGAGACAAGGUUCCAGGCCCUACGGGGUGCAGCAGGCGCGAAACCUCCGCAAUGUGAGAAAUCGCGACGGGGGGAUCCCAAGUGCCAUUCUUAACGGGAUGGCUUUUCAUUAGUGUAAAGAGCUUUUGGAAUAAGGGCUGGGCAAGACCGGUGCCAGCCGCCGCGGUAACACCGGCAGCUCUAGUGGUAGCAGUUUUUAUUGGGCCUAAAGCGUCCGUAGCCGGUUCAAUAAGUCUCUGGUGAAAUCCUGUAGCUUAACUGUGGGAAUUGCUGGAGAUACUAUUAGACUUGAGAUCGGGAGAGGUUAGAGGUACUCCCAGGGUAGAGGUGAAAUUCUGUAAUCCUGGGAGGACCGCCUGUUGCGAAGGCGUCUAACUGGAACGAUUCUGACGGUGAGGGACGAAAGUUAGGGGCGCGAACCGGAUUAGAUACCCGGGUAGUCCUAACUGUAAACGAUGCGGACUUGGUGUUGGGGUGGCUUUGAGCUGCUCCAGUGCCGAAGGGAAGCUGUUAAGUCCGCCGCCUGGGAAGUACGGUCGCAAGACUGAAACUUAAAGGAAUUGGCGGGGGAGCACCACAACGCGUGGAGCCUGCGGUUUAAUUGGAUUCAACGCCGGACAUCUCACCAGAGGCGACAGCUGUAUGAUAGCCAGGUUGAUGACUUUGCUUGACUAGCUGAGAGGUGGUGCAUGGCC
rnacentral:rRNA from 1 species